CCCCACGCAUCCGUCUCUCCUCCCUCUUGGUUCACACGUCCAAGCAUUUGGACAUCUUCCAACGCCCAACGACCUUGGGCGGUAUCUUUUGGUUGCUGAUUUCCAAACCUUCGUUGCUGCAAAAUCAAGGGAAGGAGAUCAAAAAAAGAAGAAAAAAAGAAGAUCAAAGAAAGGAUCAAAGAGUUGAUCGAAAUUCAGACUUGAUUCAGAUUCAUAGAGAAAUCAUUCUUGGAGAAGAAAGAUUUACAUCAAAGAAGGCUGAUCCAGGCUGAUCUUGAGUAGAUACCCGUAAAGACCGGACACUUGUGCGGCUAAAGGAAGAACCUACCUUCUUCCAAAUCCAAAUUCAAAGAAAGGUUGGCGAAUCAAGUAUAUGAUUUGAUCACAUAUUCAAUUUUAGCAUAAAAUUCAGCAUAUGUUAAUUUCAGCAUAUGAAGUAGAUCAUUGUGUAUUUUAUUUUUAU
rnacentral:lncRNA from 1 species